CAGCUAGCGCGCGGUAUUCGUCCGCUCAACCACCACCAGAUGACACCGCCGUCAAAAUGGCGCCGCAGGCAUUUUUCGGUACUGUAUGAGUCGGUGGUCGAUGCGGCAGGUUGGCUCGCGCUACUCCGUCAGUCGUUUCCUUGUGAGUUCGGCCCAGUCCGCCGUCAAAGUUGUCGCAAGAGUUGCGCCCAGUGUUUUGCGAGGACGGUGCGGCGUCGGAAGUGCGUGACAGUGUUUCUGCAAGCAUUUGAAAACUGUGUCCGUCAAGUACAGUCUCCGUUGCUAACCCUAACAAAAAGAAACAAACGGCAGCGGCUCUUAGAUGAUUGCGUGAGGGACCUCGGGCGACUGCUUCCACGAUAUUGGAUCCUGGGCUGAGCUCGUCGUUUUGCCACCCUCUCCAUGUGGCCGCCCGCGCAUGGGAUACCCUUCCCACUGGACAGGCCGUGAGAAGCAAGCCCGAGGCAUCGACGUUGUGCCGAGACAUCGGGAGCCAAGAUGCAGCCGCGUUAGUCGACGAAGGUUCACCAACUCGGCGCCAGCGUCGGAGCAGAAAGCAUGUCCAUCAAGCCCUGUAAAUCUUCCUUGUUGUCAGCCGUGUGAGCGCCGGACGUCCAAAAUGAGCCCACUCCCUGGCGGUCGCAUCCUGCGGGGCCCGCGCCUCCCGCCGCCGCGUCGUCUGAUUUGAGGCCGCUGCUGUCGUAUUCGGUGCGUCGUUUUUCGGGCGGCUACAAGAUGGCGGACCACAGCGAGCUGGUGACCGAGAUGAGCGUUGUGGAGAAGAUGAGCACCCAGGAGCGGCUGAAGCACGCCAAGAAGAGGCGCCAGCAGCAGCUGAAGAAGUGGAGCCAGCACGAGCGCGAGCUGCAGAAGUCCAAGAAGGGCAAGGCCUCGUCGCCGGCCGUCGCGCCGCCGCCCACAGAGUACAAGGUGCACUUCGUCCCCAGCGUCAUGCUCCUCGAGGCCGCAGCGCGGAACGACGUUGACGAAGUCCGGCGCUUGCUGAUGCUGGGAGUGAGUCCCGAUUCUACCAACGAGGACGGGCUCACGGCAUUGCACCAGUGCUGCAUCGAUGACAGCGAGGAGAUGAUGAAGCUGCUUAUCGACUUCGACGCCAACGUGAACGCGAAGGACAGCGAGCAGUGGACGCCCCUGCACGCGGCCGCCACCUGUGGUCAUAUUCACCUCGUCCGCUACCUCAUCUCCAGAGGUGCUGACCUCUUAGCUGUCAAUGCCGACGGCAACAUGCCAUAUGAUAUAUGUGAAGAUGAGCCGACACUAGACUACAUUGAAUCUGAGAUGGCAAAAAGAGGCAUCACCCAGGAAAUGAUUGAUGAAACCAGGGCAGCCAAUGAAGUAAUGAUGCUAAGUGACUUGAAGGGCCUAAGUGACGCGGGCGGUGACUUGGAAUUCAGGGAUGAGCAAGGUGCCACACCUUUGCACAUUGCAGCAGCUAAUGGGUACGUGUCUGUGGUCGAGUUCCUCCUGGAUCAGCAUGUGUCAACAGAUGUAUGCGACAAUGACCAAUGGCAGCCGAUUCAUGCAGCAGCUUGCUGGGGUCAUCCGGACGUGUUGGAAAUGCUGGUACAGGCUGGUGCUGACCUGAAUGCACGCACCAAGAAUGGCGAGACACCAUAUGACAUCUGUGAAGAUCCUGACCUGAAGGAGAGAAUUGUGCAACUACGAAGUGAAAUGGAAACAAAAAGGGCCAUGCAGCCAAACAAACUGCGGCGUUCACAAAGCCAGAAUACUCGCAGCCAAUCGGUGCGUCGAACAAGCAUCCGUGAGAAAGGCAUGAUUUCCCGCCGAGAGGCCCGUGAGGAAGCCCGCAUCCGCCAAGAGCAGCAGGCACCACUGGGCAAGGAUGAGGAUGAAGAGGCAGUGAGGAGAAAGUCUGAAGGUGAUGUCAUGAAUGGCGACUCUGGCUCAUUGACAAGCCCUGGUAGCGAGAGCGAGCGACCGGCCAACACAGUCUCAUCUGUGCCACUGUCAUUGGCCUCUCCAACCACUGCUGUGGAAGUGGCAGGGGCAGCAAGUUCCCCGAAUCGUUGUGGCUUGGAAGGAGUGGCUGACCCAGGGUCAUUGGGGUCACUAGCCCCGAUGCCCCCGCCGUCAUAUUCUGAGGUCUCGCCAAUGCCGGCAAGGCACCAGGGGGGCGCUGCGGAGGCAGUCAAGGUGGAAAUCCACGUGACCGUGAACACUCAACAAGCAUCUGUAGGCUUCUCACCUCAGAAUGGAACACUCUCAGACUUGAAGAAACACAGGGCCGACCUUCGAAACAGUCGUGGCUCCCUAACACUGUCUGCCUCACAGCAACAGGAAAUAGUUGGCAAAAUGGCAGCGUCUGCCACAGCACUGGGACAGAAUGGGCACCAGCACCAUUUCAGUGCCACUGUUCGAAAACCGAGCUACGAAGCUCCUCCAUCACCAUCGACGUCCCUUCGGCGUUUUCGUAGCGAUCCUUCAGAGAUAGUGGGUGAACCGCACCGUAAGGACUGUUGUGCUGUCAUGUGAUGAUGCCAAAAGGACAGCGAAGAAAAGAAAAAAAAAAGAAAAAAAAAAGAUAUUUACCUUUGAGUUGUCAAACAAUGCACUUGCAAAAGCAUUUGCACUUCUCAACAUUUUCGACGUUGCGAUGACGCGAAACACGGUGCUUGUGCUCGCGACCGCAGUGAGCUUCAUGGUGGGUAAUGGUUCCGGUUAGAGAAGCUAGUGAUAGGUCACCCCAGGUGCGCAUGUGCCAAUAUAUGAUACACGACGUGUUGUCCAGAAAAAUGCUUAUACUUUUCCUUCUAGAGGUUGUUGUAAUUCCAGGCAGCCUAAUACGAUGAAAGCCACUGUCCAAAUUUUUUGGCAUUUUGUGAUGGGCUUUCAUGUAAACAAAACGUAAAGGACAUUCAGUGAAUUAAGUCCAAAGUGCAGGUAAAUGUGCCAAUGGACAAUUUAUUUUUGCUUCAGUUCAUUGUGUGCUCCUUGUACCAGCACAUUUUUACAACGAGUGGAUUUGUACCGGAGAUGCUCAAAGGGACAUAUAUGCGAUAUAUUCAAGCCAUAGUGAGUGGUUAAGUUUUUUGCCAGCAGUAGUGUGCGAUUUUUUUCGGAAAUCAUGUCUGCAUUAGAGUGAAGCUUUUCUUUACGCUGUACCUUAUAAUAAGAUUAUAUAGCAGGCAUCUGAACUUUCCACAUAUCGAAAGUUUAAACAAACUACCAGCACCAAAAGAUUAUUAGGACAUUUUCCAUGAAAGAAGUGAACUUUACCACAGCUUAGGCACACAGCCUAGAGCAAAGUGAAAAUGAAAUUGGGACUGCAAACCCUGGUUUUGUGGAUUUCACAGGUUCUGCAUCCUUUAGGUACCAACACUACCUUUGAAAAGUGAACCAUUCCAUAAAAGUAAUAUAAUGCUGCUGCAGUCUUGCCUGUUGCCUUUACAGCUGUUUUAUUGCAAAGGAAUCGGUUAAACACUGUCUCGUUGCCAAGCUUGAUGUUAAAGUUCAAGUGGUUGUUGCAGCUUUACAAGUGACUGGAAAGUGAAUUUGUUUUGUACAGCAGCGAAAAUGCAUUUAAUAUGGUAUGUUUUACAAUGGAAAGGCUUUUUCUGUCAAAGUAGGCAGUGGAACUAAUUUGGUCCUGUUGCACGUAGAUGAAUUCACAGUUCAGACAAGGUGUCACAAUGACUUUUCACUUUGCAUUACGGCAUGUUGUUGACAUGGCCACCACCAUUUUUUCUUUACAUGGGGGUUUAUUAAUGCAUAUGCAGCUAAUGACAUCGUGCCUGAAGAACAGAAGUACUGAGAUUAUCUCGGGACAUUUUCUGUUUGGCUUCCAAUCAGAAUGCAAGUAGAACCUCGUUGAUACAUUCCGGUAUGUUAUGUAUUCCCUGUUCUUAGGCUCUGAAAAUGCUGGUUCCAUCUAGUUACCAUAGGGUAAUUCGUAUUAGCUUCCCGGUUACGUCCAAAAACUGCAACAGUGCACCACUGACAUGGCAUCAUCAAUCAGCGGUGCUUGCAUUAACUGUCACUAUUGUGACCUUCGAUACCUUGCACAGCUAUUUUGAUAUACACAGCUGUGUGGAAACUGACGAAAGAACUGUGUGUGCUCAAAAAGAGGCGGUUAUUGUUAUUUGACACACAUGCCAGAUGGAAAUUGUAAGCUUCAUUUAGUGUGAUUCAUUGCUACAACCGCUCCAAAAAUGUUUAAUGUAACUGCCAGCCAAGUAGCAAAAGCAAGUUUUACGUAAUGGGUUUGCAAUAGUUAAUUUGCUUUCUACCAAACUUAAAAUAAAGUUCUGUGUAAGAGUAACUUUUUGCCUCAUUUGUACCAUUGCCACAAGUGUUCUUGGAUGUUACAUAUUCCCGAUACCAUUCAAUCUUUUUUAAGUGCUCAUCUAAGAAGUGUAGUAAUGAGGUUCUACUUUAUAGUGUAAAUGCAGCAUCUUGUUUCAUAUACAAGUGUUUAGAAAAGAAGAAUGGGGCUGUUGCACUUUCUCUGGUCCACAUGCUUAUGCCACAUGACAAGUCCUCACUACACUCCACAUAAAUAUUCCUACCAAUCUGCAUUCUGUAUAAACCAUUUUACCUUGGUUUACUAGACAUUGCCAUUCUAAACAGUAGCCUCUAUCCAUAACGCACUUGGCAAGAGCAAAUUAACAAACUCGUCUAACACUAUAGAAAGAUUUAAGCUAGUUUUGUUUUGAAAUUUGGCUUGUAUUGAUAGCUAGAGUGGAAAAAAAUUCAAGCUUUUACUUUUUGAAUUUUGUGCUCAAAUUGUGACACCAAUGUGAUGUCAUGUAUCUCAUGGCAUUUUCAUGGAUGUUUACCAUUUUUGUGCAUUCAUAUAGGAAGAGUUCCCAGCAGCUACAGCUCGCGAGCUUUUGAUCGCAUUGGAAUGCAGGUUAAUCCUCCAAUGUGGGUAAUUGACUAUCACCCAGCAGCCACUGUCAUAAUUUGACAUCAUGGGAACAGGAACUUCAGGCUAGUGUUGUUACACACAUAAACAUAUAUAUAUUUUUUUUGUGUCUCUGCAUAUUUCCUGGCUUGCUCUGCAACCCUCAAAUUAUAGUAAGUAUGACAUACUUACCAUUACAGAAGUGCAAUGUUUAAUAGUUCUCUUUCGUGCCUCUUUCAGACUCCUUUGUUUAUAGACCGAUUGCCAAUACAUGUAUGGUGCUCCAGUAUACAAAGUUUCACGUUAACUGCCCAGUGCUCUAGAUGACGUACACUGUGUGAUUGGAAGAGAAUAGCCUGUACAGUGUUGAUUGAUGAAAUUGUGUGUGGCAAACAUAGUGGAUGGCUUCCUCUGUUGCGGGUACUAGCUUGUUCAGGCCGAUGCCAGUGUUCAUUAAUCAUGCAAGUUGGGGAUGUAGCAUUGGUAGUAAUCCUAGUGCAUCUCAAGCUUUAUUUUUCUGCUUUGGAACUGGAUUUCUAAAGUAGUUAGAACAUUUUCUUUCUAAUAAGAGUCAAUCUUGUCUGCACUGUGAAAGAUUAUUGCUAUUUUAACCUUCGAAGUCAGUGAGCAGCUGUAUUUCAGGACAGGUAUAAGAGGCACUAAACAGUAUGGCUUGUUUAGAGCCUUUGUGCCCUUCAGUCUUGCUUCAGAUGAUGGUGAAGCUGGGGCAUUUCUGACAUAGGAAAAUUAUUAAACAUGUGACAGCUAAAAAUAACCUAACACUAGCAUCAUUGAACGCACAAAGUUUGUACUUCGGUGGCAAUUUCUUUUUUAAUUUUAAAGUAAUGAAUGGGUCAUUUUUGCUUCAAAUGGCACUUCAGUGGGCAUUUCAGAGCUAAGUGCUUCGCUUUAACGCACAUGAUAUGUAGGGGCUGGUUUGAGCUUCAAAAAUACACACAUGUACCCUAUGCUGCCGCGUAUUUUCCAUGAACGUGUUUAGUAGUAGUGUUUUAACUAAUCCUUUCAUCUAUUGUGUACAGUCGGCACUACUAGCUAGCCAGCCAUUAGCUUACUCAUGUUGACUAAAUGUAGAGUUGUACACUGUAGGUCAAUUUUAAUUGCAACUCUGAACAUACUUCCAUGGAGAACUGUGUGGGUGACAAGUUAUUGCUUGUUUGCUUCACUAAGCUUCAAUUCUUUGAGAAUGUUGGAGCUGUGAAGUGUCUUGUCCUCAGUGGGACCAUUGUAAGAGAUGCAGAAUGUUGUGAACACUGCACCUUGUUGACCUGUCUCUUGACAGCUGUAUAGAGUUAGAUGGGUUUACUGCUGAAAUCUUUUACCACAAAGUGUGGCUCUCCAUAAUUUAGGAUGACUGUUUUCCCGGUAUGUGCUGGCCUGAAUAACCUUUUUUUUUUCAAUCCUCCUGGCAUUUUUUUGCCAGCAUUUCUUUUCUGUGUAAUAUGUAUAAAUAUAGCCAAACAGCAGAGAAGCUGCAUGCUCUGUAGUCUUAAAGAUAUAAACCUUGUUUUGUUGUGUUUAUGCUACAUUUUGAUGUCUAGUGCAGCAGUCGUAAGCAUUAUAUUAUAUUUUAAAAUAAGAAACUUUCAUCAUUCCACCAGACAGACAUGCCCAGGAUUGUGAAAGGCUGCCAAAUAGAAACCAGAAUUUUUUUUUUCAGAUACGUUGUUCUUGGGGAACAUUGUUUUUUUGCUUUUGUUGCAAGGGAGAAAAUUUCUUCAUCUGAGUGAUGUUUUUCCCCUUCUGUUCGCAGAAAAGAAACACUGUAGGAAGGGCACACUAUUUGAUGAAAAUGUUGAACACAUAUACGAUUUUUUUUUUUUUGUGUGGCAUAUAUGUCUGCAAUGACAUUGUUAUGCCUAUGCUACCAAAAGAUGAACCUAGUGACAAUUAGUCUGAGCAUGUUAGCAGCAUUCCAGUUUGGGUGUUUGAAGUAUCACCAGGUCUAGCCAAAGCUUCUUUAGAUGCCAUCCUGGUUGGUGCCAACAAGUUUUAACCACCAAGUUUAUAAAGGCCAGAGACAAAUAUUCAUCUGCAGGCAUAGUGUGGGUCCUUUUUGGCAUCUUGCUUGCGGUACUUUUAGGCUGGUUACAUAAGGCAGUAGUUGUGCCGCGGUUUGUACUAGUGCGUACUGGUCAAAGACAGUGUCAUUUCGGACGACUGCACUGCCCUAAGUAGUGGCCUUUCAAGUGCAGUAAAUCACUGCCUUGCUGCAAGCACCCAUAGCCAGCUGGUACCAAUCAGCUUAAUGUCUAGACUGUGUGAUGCGACAAGCUCGUUUGAUCUGCACACAUAUUGAUGUCCUUUUAGCUAACAGUCCGUGCAUGAGCGUAUCUUUGUACAUUGCUACAUGCACUGUUUGGGAGUACUCAUCGGAUUGUGUUGCCAACAAACUGGAAGUCCUCAAGCUGCUGUGACAGUGGCACACAAUUGUUGCCAACGUAGCAACAGUUGACAGAAUCCACUGUAAAACUGCCAUGUUGCAAUCAGCCGGUGGUAGUUAUGGCUACCACCUCAAAUGUAACCUGCUGUAUCUAAUUUUGAGCAGUUGUUGUCAAGCAUCGUCAGACGUGUUCCUGAUUACGUAUUGCACAGCAGUGUGACAGAAGCAUGAAAAGUUUUAGGCUGAUUGGAGCCUUUUAAAAUGGGCUGGCAGCUCAUAUUGUGUUCGUGACGAUUACAGCAACUGUGUUAGUUUUCCGUGAAUUCUUGACCAGCUCUCCAGCCGAUAUGGAUUUUUUCCUUUCGGCGUGUACUCUGCUGUGCAGCUGUAGCAGAGUGUUUCUGUAACUUGUGCACUUUCUUCUCUCUUUAGAAGGCCAUGAAUAAAACCUGGGAAUACUG